GCCCCGGUGGCGGAAUGGCAGACGCAGCGGAUUUAAAAUCCGUCGCCGCAAGGCAUUGUGGGUUCGACUCCCACCCGGGGUA
rnacentral:tRNA from 1 species